GGAGUUAGCCGGUGCUUCUUCUGUGAGUGAUGUCCUUCCUGCCGGCUAUUAACCCGCAGGCCUUCUUCCUCACUGAAAGUGCUUUACAACCCGAAGGCCUUCUUCACACACGCGGCAUGGCUGGAUCAGGGUUGCCCCCAUUGUCCAAUAUUCCCCACUGCUGCCUCCCGUAGGAGUCUGGGCCGUGUCUCAGUCCCAGUGUGGCUGAUCAUCCUCUCAGACCAGCUACGGAUCGUCGCCUUGGUGAGCCGUUACCUCACCAACCAGCUAAUCCGACAUAGGCUCAUCCGAUAGCGCGAGGCCCGAAGGUCCCCCGCUUUCCCCCGUAGGGCGUAUGCGGUAUUAGCCUGGGUUUCCCCAGGUUAUCCCCCACUACCGGGCAGAUUCCUAUGCAUUACUCACCCGUCCGCCGCUCGCCACCAGGGAGCAAGCUCCCCGUGCUGCCGCUCGACUUGCAUGUGUUAGGCCUGCCGCCAGCGUUCAAUCUGAGCCAGNANACAACUCACNCNGNGGCGGUGUCGACGACGGCGCUAG
rnacentral:rRNA from 1 species